CUUUGCUCUACCGUGGUAACGAACGUGUUUCAAUAAAAAAUAAUAAAUAUAUUAUUAAAGAUUAUAUUACCUUGUCUUUUUUAGCCUUUCAAUAAAUCUUCCAACCGGUCCAAAGAAACGACAAAUAGAUUUUGCAAAAUAUCGCUUAAUUACACAGUAAUAAAAUAAUCCGGUAUAUGUGAAACCCAAGAGUAACAAGAGCAUACCAUAACCGGUACACCAGCAGAAACCGCAAUCCUUUGCUAAAAGAAGAAAAAAAAAAAGAAAAGAAAAAACAAGAACGAAAUUAAGGAAGUCACUUAUCUUAAUUUUGGUGGCAAAGGCAAAGUAGAUCACUACGAGACUAUUUAACAGUAUCAAGGCUAGAAAUUUGACAAUUCUUCGAUGCCUCGAAAUGUAUGCUUCCAUGGCAUUACGUGUCGUCACAAAUCGAAAUGAAAGUAUAAAUGUUUCGUAACGUUAUACAACAACCAGCUGUAGUCGAAGAUAACACUGUUGUGAGCGAAAAAAGUUACUCGUGAAAGGCCAAAUUUUAUCAUCAAAUAUAUUAAUCUCACUAUAUAAUAUAUAGAUCGUAAAGCACAAUCACAAUAUUUCAAUACACCAAUAGGUUCGCAUAUAUCUACCUCUAAAGAGAUAAGUCGUUAAACCACUACUGAAGAUUGAAGCCGAUGAUAUCUCGUAUAGCUCUAUCUACGUUGUAAGGCUUAGACAUUCAUAAGAAGUGGGGAUUUAUACGUACCUAGUACAAACGUGCUAGUACGACAUACUUACGUUUUUAAAACCUAUUACGUUUGAUUAAUUGAUUUUCAAUUUCGUUUUCAUGUGGUGCUUCGUUUGAGUAAUGAAAUAAUAAUUUCAAUAAAUAUAUUUUUCUAUUCAAUAAUUAUACUUUUGGAUAAUUAAAUUUUUUUUUUCAUAAACAAACGCAUAUACCGAUAAAUAGAAUUAUUUAUAUUAUUAAUUGAAACUAUUUAAAGAGCGAAGUAUUGAAAAAUAAUGUUUAGAAUAUACUUCCUUUCAUUGUUAUUUUAUUACAAAACUAGUCACUGUCGAUGCGUAAACUUCAUCGUAACCGUGGUCUGGCGUUAACAUUGAUGCUCACGUAACAAUGGCUUUAACGUAAUAAAUCGUCGUCGGUAAAGUAUUACAAAUGCGAAGAGACAUUUAAAGCGAACGAUAAAAACGUGAUCUAUGGGGCCAGUGAAAUAUAAAAUGAGAUAUUGAAUUGUUAAAUCAAGAAUUCUACUUCGUAGAAAUUCUUAUCAUUAAUAUGCGUUAUGUCUAUAAUAAUCUACAAGCAAUAAUAUUCUAUAUUUAAACCAAGUAAUUUUUCUUUUUCUUUCUUUUUUGUAAGAUAGAUUAAUCGAUCGUAACGACUGUAAGAAUAUAUAAAAUAUUAUAAAGUAUUAUUAUAAAAUAUUAUAUAUAUAUAUAUAAAGUAUUUUUAUUUUUUAGCAUAUAAUAAUAUUUACAAAAAGGUUUUAAAUAUGUUAAUGACAAAGAUGAGAAAACUCUGUAUAAGUCAUUGUACAAGUAAUUAUAAAAAUGCGCAAAAGUAAUUCAGCUCUUUAUUCUAUUUAUAGUACAUACAUAAUAUUGUAAAUUUAAAAAGAAAAUUUUAAUGAUAACACACGUAUAAAUAUCAUUAUCCGAAAAAUCUUAUCAGGGUUAUCUUACGAUAAUGUAAUGAUAAAAAAUUGGUGCAUUUUGAAUGUAUUAAUUGUAUAACUAUAUUUUGAAAAUCUACAUUGUAUAAAGAGAAAAAAAUCGUCAAAUAUAAAGUAUAUUGGAGAUGCUGUUAAAUUGAAUGAAAUAAUAACUAUAAAUGGCAAUUGUUUUUUCUUCGAAAAAUCAAAGAUUUUGUUGAUCGAAUUUAUUCGCAUUAUUAACAAAACUUAAUUUGUUGAUUGUCUUUGACGAUUAUACUCGUUAUACGAAACAAAAAAUUACAUUUUACUAUUCGAGUUAAAAUUUAGGUGAAUACUAAAAAUUAGUCAUAUUUUUAAAAAUAUUUUAAAAUAUUUUAAGACAAUAACAAAAUAAGAAAGAAAAAAUUCAGUAAGACACGCUUACAAAAAGAAAUGAUAAAAUAGCAUAGUAUAGCGUAGAAAAUAUUAUAGAACAGUAUAGAUUAUUAUAAAAAACGACGAUAACGAGGAUAGCAGAAGAUAGUAUGAGAUAGCAUAAGACAGGACAGGAAAAGUUGAAUUGGAUCGGGCUAAGUUGAACUGGACGGAUCCAAGUCGGGUUGUGCCGGAUCGAGCCAAGCGGAUCCAUUACAUGAUAUAUUAUCAUGUACUAUGUCUUUUCCUAUUCUAUUCUGUAUUAUUUAUAUUCUGUCUUUUAUCAUCUCUUAUACUAUCUUUUCCUAUUCUAUUCUGUCCGUGAUGUUCUGUCUGUGGCGUGUCUUACUUAAAACUUUUAUGCUUCUGUUCUUUUUUUAUCUUUUUUAUUUCGUUGUGUUGUGAAACAUUUAAAAUUUUCUUAAAUUGACAAAUCAUUUUUAUUCUUCAAUGAAAUUUUAAUUGAAAUAGGAAUGGAUGAUAUCUCUUUACGAAAUGACGAAUAUACUUAUCGUUCCACGAAACAUUUUUUCAGGAUGAUUAUUCUCGUUAAAGAUAGAUUGACAAUACAUAGAUUAAUAAGGUUAAUACAUACGUUAAAGCAAACAGAGCGAAGUAAGACAAGUCGAUUUUUAAAAAUAAUACACGUGUCUCCGUCGAAAACAUUAAUUUUCAAUCACGACUUUUGCUUUCCUACGAACGUCUAGCAGAUAAAAACUCACAAACAGCGGUCACGAAAACCAGCAUUUUUGAUCCUAAGAUUUUGGCAGGGCUUACUUAAGACGAACGAGAUUUAGAAUUCGUACGAGAGGACUCAUUUUCGAGAGGCGCCGAAUUCUAUUUAUACAAGUCCAAGACGAGUUUCAUGCUCUCGAAAUUCUGUUUCAUUUUGUGACGGAAAAACGAGGAGGUUCGUUCUGUCAUUAAAAAAAAAGAAAAAACAUGAAGAAGAAAAAAUAAAUAGAGAAAGAGAGAGAGAGAAAGAGAAAGAAAGAGAGAGAGAGAGAGAGAGAGAGAGAGAGAGAGAGAGAUUUAAAACAGUAGACAUAUUUUAACCACAUCUGUCAAUUUGACAGGUAGUAAAAAAAAAGGAAAACACUUUUUAUAUUCCUUACUAUUUUUAGUUUAUUUAAUUUUACAAUAACAAAGAAAUAAAUAUAGUUUCCGCUUAAAAAUUUUCUGAUAAUUAUUUCGAGUGUACGUACGAGUUAGAAACGAUCAAUAAGAUAUAUUGACGAUUAUUGUAUCAUGAUUUUAUUAUAAUGUCAAGUUGUUUUGUAUCUUUUUUUUAUUAUUAUUAUUAUUCUUAUUAUUAUUACUAUAAUGAUUUUUUCUUUUAUAUAUUCUUUCGAUUACUUCUUUGUUUUCUUUGGUUCUUUUUUUAAUCCUCAUCCGAUUUUCGGAACUACUAUUUGACUUUGUUGUCCACGCGAUCAAUAAGAAAUACUAAGAAUUAUUCUAAUUUUAUUAUCGCGUCACUUUGUUUUGUAUCUUUUUUAUUAUUAUUAUUAUUUUUUUAUUUAUUUAUUUAUUCUUUCGAUGAUUUAUUUGUUUUGUUUUGUUUCGUUUUUUUUUUGUUUUAAUCCUUAUUCGAUUUCUUUUGAAUUCGGGUCGUUAAAUAUGGAAUUGACAUUGAUAUUACGUUAGAAUAUUUCUCAGAAUCAUUCAACAGACUUUCCCUUUUUCAUCGAAGCCAAAGAAUAAUUUCUUCAUAUUUUUACGAAUUUUGCAUCAUAAAUCUCUCGAUCUUACCUGGUUCGUUCGAAGAAUUUACCUGGAAUUGAGGUCCGGCGGAUGAAUUAAAUCAUUUUCAGAAAGAGAGAGUGAGAGAGAGUAAAAGGAAAUAAAAGAGAUGCGUCGUAAGAGCGAGAGAGACAAAUAGCUCUUUUAAAUAGCCGGGCCGUCUAGAGCAUUUGCGACUGCAACGUGCAAAAUAUCGCAUGCACUCGACAUUAUGCGACUCAAAGACGUAUUUCCAUGGGAAACCACUCCUCUCUAAAAUGUUUUACACGUGUAU